rnacentral:rRNA from 1 species
CUUGCCACCCUGAAUGCACCCCAUCUCCUCUGAGUUCUGAAGCUAAGCAGGGUGGGGCCUGGUUAGUACUUGGAUGGAAGAUUUACUGUUUAAUAUUAGCAAAUAAAAGA